UACGUAGGGUGCGAGCGUUAAUCGGAAUUACUGGGCGUAAAGCAUGCGCAGGCGGUUUGUUAAGUCUGAUGUGAAAGCCCCGGGCUCAACCUGGGAACUGCAUUGGAAACUGGCAAGCUCGAGUAUGGCAGAGGGGGGUGGAAUUCCGCGUGUAGCAGUGAAAUGCGUAGGAGAUGCGGAGGAACACCGAUGGCGAAGGCAGCCCCCUGGGCCAAUACUGACGCUCAGGCACGAAAGCGUGGGGAGCAAACAGG
rnacentral:rRNA from 1 species